UUGUUUUGCAGUUCAAGGUUUAUACUCCUCGUUUAGAUAAAGGCUCCGUUAAAACAGAAGCUGAGAUAGCAGCAGAAGUUUUGUUCACUCCAAAGUUGACUUUUAAACUUCCAUCUCUACCUAAAUUUGUGAGAAUACCUCUGAGGAAGCUUAAAUCAUUCUGGAAAAAGGUCGUCAAGAAAUUCAGUGGCAAACGCCCCGAAGAAAGCCAUAGUGCCUAUGAUGUUUCAGUUCUCAGACUCAGUUUAGAAGUUCCUUUUCGAAUAAAUGCUGCGGUCAAAGCCAAUAGCGAUAAAUGUGCCAGAAAAGACGACACUAUUACACGCGAACUGGUCCUCAGUUUUGGAUUCUCGGAAAUUGUCGGACGACUGUCGAUCGGCUUUGGAGCAGUGAAAUACGAGUUGCAAGUUUUGAGUCGGAAGUUGAACGCCGGUGUAGGGGAGCGUAGAUUUCCCUUGAAAUGCGGUAAUUCCAAGUCUACCUGUAGAUGUCCAACAACGCUGUCACCAAUAACUCCCGCAACCGCCUUCGCUCCUGGUG